rnacentral:lncRNA from 1 species
GCUCUUCUUACGUUUUGCCUAGAAUAUAUACCAACUAAUCAGUUCAAAUGUUUUCAGACGAGGGAAGAACGGAAACUUGCAGCCAUUUUAAAAGCAUUUGAUAGGCUUGAAAAAGAUCAAGCUCGAAAGCAAGAAUCUCAUCACAAGGGCUCAGCUCGAAAAGAUUUGUCUGACAAUGUUGAUGUUGUCCCAGAACCGAGAAUCCUGAAAUCUUCAGUGCAGCCACACACACCUGCAGUUAAACCAUCACCGAAAAAAAAGAGAGGCAAAAGGCGCAUCCUGAAUAGGAGUAUGUCAAAUUUGCAACCUAGUCCAAGAACAAGACGAGCAAUGCAGAGGCGAAUGAACACGGAACCCGAAACAAGUUCUGAUGAAGACGAUGAGGAUGUUCCAAGCAAGCCAACAACGAGACAUGCAUCAAAUAGACAUCCAAUAUCCCCUGAUAAAAAUGAGCCUUCAACGCCUAUCAAAAUGAGAGUGGAUCAAGCAGUGAUACUUGUAUGACUCCAGUCACCGUAUCCAACACGUGUCUGCUAGUAGCUGCAGCUGUCGGCCCACUCGCUCCAGGAUUCAAGUUUCCUCAGCAAAAAAGGUAAUUUUUCUUAAAUUAUCCCUCUCUUCUGAAGCCUCAUCUUUUCCGCAAGCAUUCAGGAGUGAAAGGAAACCUUCAGUAGUCUGUGUAUACUUUUCCUUUCUUUUAAUGUUUGUUGCUGCUCUGUGUUCAAUUGUUACAAUCCUAACGCAUCUGUCUCACAUGUCACAGUAAUUUAAAAUAGAAAAACAUCUUCUCAUAUUCUGUGUUCCCAACUGGGGAUCUCAAAAGGAAACCAAACAGCAUCCUAAAAUGGGUUUUAAUGGUUUGGGCUCUUCAAGAUUUCGUCAAAUAUUUGUUAUUGGUAAUGGAUUCUUUUGUCACUGAGUCAAAAUAUGUAUUUUAAUAAACCAAAGAUAUUAUUUUUUCCAGUGUUAUCUUUGAGGUCAGUAUAAAGUAAGUAAAGUCUUUUAAAAGUUAGACAGCAUUUGGUUAGGACCCCAUUUAGUUGAACAGUGCUGAAAUUUAUCUAAGAAAACUUUUUGCAUGGAGAACUCUCAAAGUUUGAUGUAUCUUUUGUUACCUCUCAUCUGCAAAUGAGCACAAAGUGCUGCUUUUUUCGGAAAUUUCUCCAAAGUUUUAUCAAAAUAUUGACACUAAAUGUCAAUUUUAUAUGUACAACAGGAAGUAACAAGCACCUUGUGUUGCAUAUUUUAAAGGAGGCUCAAUUGUCUGUAAACAGCAAAGGUAAGGGAUGGCCACCUUCAUAAAAAAGUUUAAAUUUAAAAAAAAACUCAGCAACUGAAAACUGUUGCCAUUAGGUGCCCUUAUUUUCUUCCACUAUGACACUAACCUUUUGUUCCUCCCUUUUUGCAGCCAUCACUAAACAGUUGGACCAAGUCCCAAGACUCAGCAGGCGGUGAUGAGUCGCCCCCUAAAAAUACUCCUCAAGGAAGCAAUGGAGUAACAGGAAACGGAAACGGGGCUGGAUUUGCCAAGAAGCGUUGGCUAAGACAAGCCAUCAGCGAAGAAUCGGAGACACCUGCAGGUAUUUAUUUGUUCCCUCUCAUUAAUCCUGUGAUCCCUCUUGAUCCUGGUGAUGGUAGUCAUUAUUUAAAGAGUGUAGCUUUUUCUCUCAGUUGGAUACAGUGUGUUCCCAAAACUGUCUAU